UACGUAGGCAGCAAGCGUUGUUCGGAGUUACUGGGCGUAAAGGGUGCGUAGGCGGCUUUUUAAGUUUGGUGUGAAAUCUCCCCGGCUCAACUGGGAGGGUGCGCCGAAUACUGAGAGGCUAGAGUGUGGGAGAGGAAAGUGGAAUUCCUGGUGUAGCGGUGAAAUGCGUAGAUAUCAGGAGGAACACCGGUGGUGUAAACGGCUUUCUGGACCAUAACUGACGCUGAUGCACGAAAGCGUGGGUAGCAAACAGG
rnacentral:rRNA from 1 species